rnacentral:rRNA from 1 species
GAGUUUGAUCAUGGCUCAGAUUGAACGCUGGCGGCAGGCCUAACACAUGCAAGUCGAGCGGUAACAUUUCUAGCUUGCUAGAAGAUGACGAGCGGCGGACGGGUGAGUAAUGCUUGGGAAUAUGCCUUAGGGUGGGGGACAACAGUUGGAAACGACUGCUAAUACCGCAUGAUGUNUACGGACCAAAGGGGGCUUCGGCUCUCGCCCUUAGAUUAGCCCAAGUGGGAUUAGCUAGUUGGUGAGGUAAAGGCUCACCAAGGCGACGAUCCCUAGCUGGUUUGAGAGGAUGAUCAGCCACACUGGAACUGAGACACGGUCCAGACUCCUACGGGAGGCAGCAGUGGGGAAUAUUGCACAAUGGGGGAAACCCUGAUGCAGCCAUGCCGCGUGUGUGAAGAAGGCCUUCGGGUUGUAAAGCACUUUCAGUAAGGAGGAAAGGUUAGUAGUUAAUACCUGCUAGCUGUGACGUUACUUACAGAAGAAGCACCGGCUAAUCCGAGCUCAGCAACAGAAGAAGCACCGGCUAACUCC